rnacentral:lncRNA from 1 species
AGAGGCUCCUCACGCCAAUCCCGGGGCGGCAGGGGCGGCGCCUCGAGCUCUCGGCAAUAAAACUUUUUGAUGUUCACGUUGCUAAUUGCCGAGGUCCUCUUCCAGGAUUGGCUACCUCCUCAUAACCAUAAGAUAAUUAAAACUUGGCGGGGGGGGGGGGCAGGGUUAAAAAAACUUUUUUUAUCAGUCAGAGGAUAAUGCAAGUGUUUAACAGAUGCUUCACUAUUAAAAUAUUUUCCCCCCAAGUCUCAAAUAUUGAAGAAUCUCUAACCAGGCUCGAAACGCCGGUCUCAGUGGCUAUUGAGUUACCCACCAAGUUACCCCGGUUAGAGCUGUUUGGGGUGGCUCACGUUAUUGCGGCAAACUUUGGAGAUGACGGCUGAGUCCUCCGGGCGAACAUGUCAAGCCGAUUGUAAAUGCUGUUAUUUCCACAUCCUUCAGGGACACCAGUCCCUACGAAGACCUUGGGCGAUUUUGAAGUGCGGGCACCUCGAUUCCCCGAAUCUGUAGUGUGGCUGGUAUCGGUGUUCCCCUGGUUUAACUAGCCUGUUUGAAGGCACAGAUCAUUCAUGGGGAUGUAUAACCGAAACCAGUCCUCUCCACCGCCUGGGGAUCUUCACUUUCGCAGUCUACGACUGCCUGUGACUCCAGAAAGACAAACUGCAGAUUGGCCAAGAUGGGGAAAUUGAGGCAGAGAAGCCAAGACAUGUGCUAAAGGUCAUGCAGGCUAUGAAUGGAGCUGGAAUGUGAACGCAGGCCAUAUGACCCCAGAGCCCAUGUUCUUGAACCCUUAGAAAGACAGCAGCAACACACCUGGUGCAGCAGCUGCUUAGUUGGAGUGGCUGACAAGGUUGGCAGAGGAUCCCGUUCCUCCCGUGGAGUGGCUGCCAUGAUACUGCCUGCACUGAAGCUGCUCCUAUUUCUGAAAUAUGUAUUGUUAUUUUUUUCCCUGCAUGUUGAACAUUAUACUCUUCUGUUCUUUCGCAUUCUCUUCUUCCCUUCCGGAUGACUUCUAGGGUUUUUGUGAUUCUGUAAUUCUAAAGGAGAAAGGAUAAUAAGAAUUGUGAGGCCGGGCGCGGUGGCUCAUGCCUGUAAUCACAGCACUUUGGGAGGCCAAGGAGAGAAUGAUUUCCAGGAAGAGCGGAACACAUAUGGAAGGCCUUAGCUUAUCUUUAGCGCCUCAUACACCCGUUCUGGACUUCAGAAAGGCCAGUGAGUGGGAUUAGGCCUCAGAGAUAGGAUGUCAGUCCCAGUGAGGGAUGGCCUAGAGCAUUCUUUAAUUCUUUCCUUUGGGUCACACAUAAGAAACAAUUUUCCAGCACUGAUGAGUGUUAUUAACAAUGAGAUGGGAUAGAAUUUAGUUUUCCCUAUGGCUGUGCUUCAAAAAUAGAAAAGCUGUCUUUUCUCUGGAAUGAUUGAAUGAAGCUCUGGGGAGGAAAAGGUGGAUUGGCAGAUCUCUUAAAGGAAGCUUCUCCUUCUAGGCACUAUUCUAAGGCUUAAUAUUUUAACUCCCUAUAUUAACCUAGUUCAACUAAACAGUGAUCUGAGUAAUUUUAUUUUUAUUAAAGCUCAGAUCAAAAUGCCAUUAACAUUGAUUGAGAAAAUCAAAGGAAUCUUUGAUGUGAGUGGUUAAAUUGCUGAAUUAUUUCAGUCCCAUACCCUCACAGCAUGAGUACCUGAUCUGAUAGACUUCUUUGGAAUUCCUUUUUUGUUUGAGACAGAGUCUUGCUCUGUCGCCCAGGCUGGAGUGCAGCGGUGUGAUCUCAACCAUUGCAACCUCCACCUCCCAGGUUCAAGUGAUUCUCAUGCCUCAGCCUCCUGAGUAGCUGGGAUUACAGAUGUGCACCACCAUGCCCGGCUAAUUAUUUUGUAUCUUUAGUAGAGAUGAAGUUUUGCCAUGUGGGCCAGGCUGUUCUCAAACUACUGGCCUCAAGUGAUCUGCCCGCCUCGGCCUCCCAGACUGCUGGGAUUACAGGCGUGAGGCACCGUGCCUGGCUGGGAUUCCAUAAUAAAUCCCUCUGUGUCUAUUUCUUUUUUCAAAUAUAAUUUUCUUCAUUUCCAAACAUCAUCUUUAAGACUCCAAGGAUUUUUCCAGGCACAGUGGCUCAUACCUGUAAUCCCAUUGCUUGGAGAGGCCAAGGUGGAAGUUCAUUUGAGGCCAGGAGUUCGAGACCAGGUGGGCAACAUAGUGAAACCUUGUCUCUACAACAUAAAAAAAAAAAUAAAACCCUAAGGAAAUAAUGGUGCCUCACUACCUUUCAAAGCUUUUGACCUUCAAGUCAGAAAAUAAAUUAUUUUUAGGAAAGGCAUCUCAACCUUAUUUACAAAUGAACUAUUUGUCAAGAGCAACCUCUAUAAGGAUAAUAGGACUUCCUGGUUUGAAAUGCAGCAUGAACAAUUCUCAGAGGCUCCUGGAAGACUAAGAAUGAGGUUUCUUGAUCCGCCUUCCCUCGGCAUCUUCUCACUCUCUUCCCUCCUUCUCAGAAGCUGUGUGCAGCAAUGGGCUAUGCAACUGGUUUCACUGGUGCCUGGUAGAACUUUUAAUUCCUCCCUGUCAGCACAUCCCUAGUCCACUUUCAUAGUUUGGAUAAGGACUGGAUAAGCAGCUGAACUUCUGGGGACUUUUCCAAAUGAAAUUCAACCUUUAGACCUUUGGAGGUUUACCCAGUCUUCCUCACUACCCGAAGAUGAGUUUGGAACAAAUUUUCUCUUAAUGGAUUCUAUUUGUGGGUAGGAGAGGUAAUGACUGCCUUGCUCAGAGUCAUGAGCAUAACUUCAAAUAAGGAAAAAGAGCCUCGCAGGAAUGUGAGAAUAGAUGCGAUCCUGAGGAAGGUGUGUCUGAGGAGGUGCUGGGAGGUUCUGAUCGGCUGUUGAAGGCAGAUACUGUAUCUCACGUGACAGAAGUCACCUCCUGACAUCAGAGUUGUGUUUGAGUGGUAAUUUAAAAAAUAAUAUAGCUGACAAGGAAAUGUGGAAGGCAUUACGUUGCAAUACAGUGAAAUGAACAUACAACAUUCAAGAUCAAUUACCGGGUACUGAUUAGCUGGGAGAAAGGCAAUAAAACUUUAAAAAUAGAAUUGGUAGAAAUAGCACCCUGUCAAGGUGGGACUGACUAUGCCUCCUGCUGGUUUGUUGCGAGGAAUUCUUUUUUUGGGAAAAUCCUGUUGAAUUGUGUGGCUUGUGAAUCUGGCUCUAGAACUGUUAAUGUUAUAAGAAUUGAAAGAGGACUAUUUAAAAAUACCAAGACAUCUUUUAAAAUUCCUAUUUUUAGAACAGCUACUUGUCAUUAAAAUAAAUCAUUCCAUUUCUAUUUGUCCAGGUUACUGCUUUCACAGCAGGGCCAGGGCUAUGGUGAAGUGUGGGAGGUGCCCAGUCCCCUUCACUGCAGUCAUGGCUCUGUUUCAUGCCACAUGUGUUAUUUUAUAAGUGGUUAAGCCCCACAUAGGCAUGCAAACAUGGUACAUCUCUAUGUAUUGGUUUUGGUAAUGUUGUAAAUAAUUGGGAGAAUACAUUAAAAUUUGGUAAUAGUGCUCCUUUGGACUCAGUCUCUUUUUUUUUUUUUAAGACAGAGUUUCGCUCUUGUUGCCCAGGCUGGAGUGCAAUGGCAUGAUCUUGGCUCAUUGCAACCUCUGCCUCCUGGGUUCAAGCAAGUCUCCUGCCUCAGCCUUCCUGAGUAGCUAGGAUUACAGGCAUGUGCCACUAUGCCCGGCUAAUUUUGUAUUUUUAGUAGAAAAGGGGUUUCUCCAUGUUGGUCAGGCUGGUCUUGAAUUCCCGACCUCAGGUGAUUCCAGUUCUAAUUCCCCAACAGAGUUGUCUUGGUUGCAGUGAGAUAUAUAUAUAUAUAUAUAUAUAUAUAUAUAUAUAUAUAUAUAUAUAUAUAUAUUUUGAGAUGGGGUCUCGCUCUGUCGCCCAGUCUGGAGAGCAGUGGCGCGAUCUUGGCUUGCAGUGAGACAUUUUUAUCCAUCCUGAUCACAGCACUUGCCUCCGGGCUCAUGAAGCCCAGCAUGUUACUGCUGUUCUGAACGUCUCUGCUUUUUGAGAGACAUGUUUAAUGAAUUGGGAGUAUCUGUGCACAUUGCAUUCACUUAAAAAGGGAAAAAUACCUUUUAACAGUUAUAGCUACAGAAAUUCAAUUUAGUUUAUUUAGGAGGAAAUGAGAGACUUGAAUUGUAGGUGUGAAAUCUUACAAUCUUUCAGAAUGAUUUGGUUUGGGGGAUGGUUGGAACUGCAUGGAAUUCCUUCAGCCAAAAUAAUUUUUGUGAGCACAUUCCCAAGCUCACGAUCAUGUUUUGAUAAGAAAAAUCCCUUUCUCCACAAGUUCUCAGGUCCCACUCAUUGGCCCCUGCCCUCAUUUCUGGAACCUAUGUUAGGCAGUUAUGUGGCUCAGUUCUUGGUGAUAUGUUUUCAAUUUGAGUCAACUUGAUGAGAGAAAAAUUACUAAAAAGUGGGAAUGAGCUGUGAGGUGAACAGGGUUUUCCUAUCAAAGUGGAGGUAUUUUUAAAAGCAUUUAUUAUUUCAAACUCAAACAUUUAUAGAAAGCCAUGAGUGUGAAGUGUAUGAUUACCAGUUGUGGCUUGCUGCAUUGAAAAAUUCAAGUUCAUAGGAAAUAUUUACUGAGGCUCUGGUUUGCAAGCAGUUUGUUCAAGAGAACAAUUUGGUCCAGAAGGCAUGUCAGCCAAAAAAGAGUUUACUAAUAUAGUAGUAACAGGCAAUUAGGAUUCAUAAGCAUCGCCAUGGCUGAGACAUGAUUUAAGGUCUUAGAUGGAAAGAGUUCUGUUAUUAAGAUAACAGAAUUUAAAUGCUGUAUCUGUCUAGGUCUUAUGCAUGUCAGAAGUGAGAAAACUACUUCUUCAUUUUCCAUUUUUAUGAGCUCUGAUGUAACACAGUUUUUUUUUUUUUCUGUGUUGAAAAUGAUGAAUAUAGUUCUUGGCACAUUUGUUCCAUAGUAAAGAAGAAUUUAACUUGCAAGUGAAAAACCUCUGCCUUUGGCCAUGGAUUAAAAAGAUGUUAUAUGAUGAAGUUUACUUCCUAAGGAAAGGUUAGUUUUGUGUGGCACUUUCUGAAAAUUUGUUUGGGACAUAUACAAUUCUUUUGUAUAAAUUCUGGAGGUCUGAGGAAAAUUACUUAAUCACAUUAGAUGAGAACAUUUCUUUUUGUGUGAAUUGAGUUCUUAUCAAGGUUCUGAUGUUUUUUCUCAUGUAUUUGCCCUUGGGUUCAUCUCAAUACAAUGCAUUUGUGUACUAUUGAAUAAAAAGCAGGCUGCAACAGUAUUUAUGACAUAUGAUCCUAUAUACACGUAAAAUCUUGUGUGUGUGUUUGUGUGUGCACAUGCAUAUAAAAAAAACUACAUUGUUAAAGUUGUUAAUAGUUAACUCCCGGUGGUGGGUUUUAAGUGAUUAUUAUUUUCUUUGUAUAAGAAAAAUAGUGCACAGUUUUCUUUUGUUGUUACGAAAGGUGUCAUACAUUUGAAAGAGGACAUAUGCACAGUUUAAAUAAUAAUAACAUAGUGAAUACCCACUGCUUGGCUGAAAAAAAUAAUUUAUUACUCUGUUGCAGAAGGCAAGCCUUCCUUCUGCCCCUGCCUCUGUCAUGGAGGUAGCUACUUGCUUGAAUUUUGUGCUAAUCAUGUCUUUGCUUUCUUAUAUAGUUUAGCCAGCUGUGAAUGUCUCCAUAAAACAUACACAGUUUUAUUUUGAUUGUUUUUGAACUUUAAAUAAAUGAAAUCAUACUGGAUA